UGAAUACGAGAUGCUACGGCGUCGAAGCAGUCUAUGUCAUACUUCCAAGAAAAGCUCGCACUGUCAUAAACAAAUAAUGCCUGUACCAUAACCGACACAGGUGGGUAGGUAGAGUAUACUAAGGGGCGCGAGAUAACUCUCUCUAAGGAACUCGGCAAAAUGACUCCGUAACUUCGGGAGAAGGAGUGCCUUAUUUAUAAGGUUGCAAUAACAAGAUCCAAGCAACUGUUUAUCAAAAACACAGGUCUCCGCUAAGUCGUAAGACGAUGUAUGGGGGCUGACGCCUGCCCAGUGCCAGAAGGUUAAAGAAGUUGGUUAGCAUUCGCGAAGCUGAUAACUGAAGCCCUGGUGAACGGCGGCCGUAACUAUAACGGUCCUAAGGUAGCGAAAUUCCUUGUCGGGUAAGUUCCGACCCGCACGAAAGGCGUAAUGAUUUGGAUACUGUCUCGGAGAGGGGCUCGGUGAAAUAGACUUGUCUGUGAAGAUGCGGACUACCUGCACCAGGACAGAAAGACCCUAUGAAGCUUUACUGUAACUUGAGAUUGAAAUUGGACUUUACUUGCGCAGUAUAGGUGGGAGGCGUUGAUAAUAUUCUUGCGGGAUUAUUUGAGCCAUCAGUGAGAUACCACUCUUGUAAUGUUAGAUUUCUAACUUUGUAUCAUUAUCUGGUCAAAGGACAGUUUCAGGCGGGCAGUUUGACUGGGGCGGUCGCCUCCUAAACGGUAACGGGGGCGCACAAAGGUUUCCUCUGAACGGGUAGAAAUCGUAUCUAGAGUGUAAAGGCAUAAGGAAGCUUGACUGUGAGACCUACAAGUCGAGCAGGGACGAAAGUCGGUCUUAGUGAUCUGACGGUGCUGAGUGGAAAGGCCGUCACUCAACGGAUAAAAGUUACUCUAAGGAUAACAGGCUGAUCUCCCCCAAGAGUUCACAUCGACGGGGAGGUUUGGCACCUCGAUGUCGGCUCAUCGCAUCCUGGGGCGGUAGUACGUCCCAAGGGUUGGGCUGUUCGCCCAUGAAAGCGGUACGCGAGCUGGGUUCAGAACGUCGUGAGACAGUUCGGUCCAUAUCCGGUGUAGGCGUUAGGAUAUUGAGAGGAGCCUUCUUUAGUACGAGAGGACCGAGAAGGACAUACCUCUGGUGUACCAGUUAUCGUGCCAACGGUAAACGCUGGGUAGCUAUGUAUGGAGUGGAUAACCGCUGAAAGCAUCUAAGUGGGAAGCCCACCUCAAGAUAAGUA
rnacentral:rRNA from 1 species